GUAGCGGUGAAAUGCAUAGAUAUUACACAGAACACCGAUUGCGUAGGCAGCUUACUGGACCUGCACUGACGGGGUUUUNCUGAGGCACGAAAGCGUUGGGGAUCAGACAAAGGAUUAGAUACCCUGGUAGUCCACGCCGUAAACUAUGAUUACUCGUUGUCGGCAAUACAUCGUCAGCGACCAAGCGAAAGCGAUAAGUAAUCCACCUGGGGAGUACGCUCGCAAGAGUGAAACUCAAAGGAAUUGACGGGGGCCCGCACAAGCGGUGGAACAUGUGGUUUAAUUCGAUGAUACGCGAGGAACCUUACCUGGGCUUAAAUGUAGACUGCAUUCACGGGAAACCGUGAUUUCUUUUAGACUGUUUACAAGGUGCUGCAUGGUUGUCGUCAGCUCGUGCCGUGAGGUGUCGGGUUAAGUCCCAUAACGAGCGCAACCCUUAUCGUUAGUUGCCAUCGGGUAAAGCCGGGGACUCUAGCGAAACUGCCACCGUAAGGUGAGAGGAAGGUGGGGAUGACGUCAAAUCAGCACGGCCCUUAUGUCCAGGGCUACACACGUGUUACAAUGGUUAGAACAAAGGGCANGCUACCUGGUGACAGGAUGCUAAUCUCUAAAUCUGGCCGAAGUUCGGAUCGGAGUCUGCAACUCGACUCCCGUGAAGCUGGAAUCGCUAGUAAUCGCGCAUCAGCCAUGGCGCGGUGAAUACGUUCCCGGGCCUUGUACACACCGCCCGUCAAGCCAUGGAAGCUGGGGGUGCCUGAAGUCCGUAACCGC
rnacentral:rRNA from 1 species